rnacentral:rRNA from 1 species
UCAGAGUGGAAUAACAUUUGGAAACGAAUGGUAAUACCGCAUAACGUCACGGGACCGCAUGAUCCUGUGACCAAAGGAGCAAUCCGCUGAGAGAUGGGACUCGCGUCCGAUUAGCUAGUUGGAGAGGUAACGGNUCCCCAAGGCGACGAUCGGUAGCCGGACUGAGAGGUUGAACGGCCACAUUGGGACUGAGACACGGCCCAGACUCCUACGGGAGGCAGCAGUGGGGAAUAUUGGGCAAUGGGCGCAAGCCCUGACCCAGCAACGCCGCGUGAAGGAAGAAGGUUUUCGGAUUGUAAACUUCUGUUCUUAGGGAAGAAUAAAUGACGGUACCUAAGGAGCAAGCCACGGCUAACUACGUG